GACGGAGGAUGCAAGCGUUAUCCGGAAUGAUUGGGCGUAAAGCGUCCGCAGGUGGCAGUUCAAGUCUGCUGUCAAAGACCGGGGCUUAACUUCGGAAAGGCAGUGGAAACUGAACAGCUAGAGUAUGGUAGGGGCAGAGGGAAUUCCUGGUGUAGCGGUGAAAUGCGUAGAGAUCAGGAAGAACAUCGGUGGCGAAGGCGGCCUGCUGGGCUCUUGCUGACACUGAGGCGCGACAGCGUGGGGAGCAAACAGG
rnacentral:rRNA from 1 species